CCCUCGCCACGACACUUCGCGAGACCCUGCCGCGUCGCCGUGGUUACCGAGCGGCCGGUGAAGAAGACGCGCAGGCAGAAGCAGCGCCUCCAGUAGCUAGCUCUCUCUAUCUAUCUCUAUAUAUCUUUCAGACCUCCACUGUCAGGGUGAGGCCCGACGCAAGGUGGAGGAACAGCACCUCAAAUUACAAGGCAGUCAGUUAAGAAUAAGGCGUAAGCCAUUUAGAACGGAGACGAGGAAACACUUUUUCUCGCAGAGAGUGGUUCCAACUUCCAGCAUCUGCAUUGUGGCACUUGGUGAAGAGUUGCUUGGGUGGUGAAUAUUUGCACGGCCUCAGGUAAAUGAAAGACAGUGUCAGAAAACUUUCUGCAGAAACUUAAUGAAACUGCCAACUGUUGACUUCUUCAGACAUUUUAAAUACAUCUUUUAACAAAUGGGGAAGUUAAUUCUGAUUAAGAAUGUUUGCUUUUGGUGAUUAUCCCAAUUCCAGCUGCUUUAAUCAAACCACAGCAAGUUUUCACUCAAGCAUAUCAAGGAAUAUAUUUUUAGCAACAUUUGAAUGAGAUAAUGGAUUAAAAAUAUUUAACAAACUGUGGUGGUUCACAGCUGUACUGUUAUUCACUACCAUUGCAAAUAAUGAAUGGUUUCAAAAAGUCUCAAAAUUAGUGCAUUGUCUCCAGAGUAAUAAUUUUAGGUACCUUGCCUAUAUUAUAUUUUCAGCAAUAUAAUCAAUUAGAUUUAUCUUGGAUUGUUUAUCUCUGAGACAUAAUAAACACCAUGUCACUGGUGAGCACUGACCUCAGUUUAAAAAAAGUACCUCAAGUGUUUUUUUUCAGUGAGAAUUUUUUAAAA